ensembl:lncRNA
GGGCGGAUUGUGGCUUUCUUGGACUUCCAUAGGUUUCCUCCUACUGCAUAAAGCAAAGUGUCUCUCCCACGGAGGUUGGUCCUUACAGAUACCCGUAGUUCUGACUUUAAAGUCAGAAUUCUGACUUUUUUCUCAGAAUUCUGAGAUUAAUGUCAGAAUUCUGACUUUUUUCUCAGAAUUCUGAGAUUAAAGUCAGAAUUCUGACUUUAAUCUCAGAAUUCUGAGAUUAAAGUCAGAAUUCUGACUUUAAUCUCAGAAUUCUGAGAUUAAUGUCAGAAUUCUGACUUUUUAUCUCAGAAUUCUGAGAUUAAUGUCAGAAUUCUGACUUUAUUCUCAGAAUUCUGAGAUUAAAGUCAGAAUUCUGACUUUUUUCUCAGAAUUCUGAGAAUAAAGUCAGAACUUAAUUUUUUUUACAUGUGUGGCCCUAAUCCUCUUCCGUAACCUGCAGCAGGUCACUUGGAGUCAGUUAAAAACAGCACAGGGUGGAAUGUUUUUUUCCGCUUAGUUGCCGUGAGUAAUUAUGAAACUAUCUAUGCCAGUCAUACAUAAUGAUUGAUUGAAUAGAGGAGACCUGGGACAGUUGCAACACUUUUUGCUAUAAUGGCUCUUUUGCUUAGCAACCAUUUGAAUUUAAGGGAUCAUAUUUGAAUAAAAUAAACUUACAUCUGUCAGCUAUUCAUCAAUACAAUUUAAGGAUGAUGACCUUAAGUACAUUAUUCACAGUUGGCCUUUGAAUGUAAGAUGCCAUGACAGCUGGCUGUAGAUGUAAACAAACGAAAGACUGUCACAAACACCCUAACAAUUUCAUACGUGUGUGUGAGUUGGGUUAGCAGUUUGAAUAGGUAAUUUUUCCCUCAAUGUUGUUUUUGUGAUAUUGUCCUUUCUAAAUGUGUUAUUCGGCAUACAGGGCAUUUGAAUCCCUAUCCAUUAGCAUUGAUAACGGUGAACAUCAUAAGCUAGCAUAUCAGUUUUUAUCAUGGGUGUCUUUACGGGGACAGUUGCUGUUGGCAUCUUACAUUCAAAGGCCAACUGUGAAUAAUGUACUUAAGGUAAUCAUCCUUACAUUUUAUUGAUGAAUAGCUGACAGAUGUAAGUUUAUUUUAUUCAAAUAUCAUCCCUUGAAUUCAAAUAGUUGCUAAGCAAAAGAGUGAGUGGAGCGGAUGACCACUCCAAGAUGGCGGCCCCGCGUCUCGUCAGCGCCAGUAGGCGGUAGCAUUCGAUGCUCCGUCUAUCAUAUAAGAUGUCUAUGGUAACAAUAAGGUUCUCUAAGGAAUCGGAAAUGAUCAAAUUUAAUGUUGCAUUCAACAUUGCCAAAGAGGAGUUGCCAUUCACCAAAUUUAAAUCCGAAAUUAUUCUCAUGAAGAAAAAUGGAUUAAAGGUCAACCCGACGCAUAGCAAUGAGAUGGCAUGUGCACAAUUCAUUGCGGUAAUAGGCGACACCUUAAAGCAAAAGACAGCUGCGAACGUCGGAAACGCCACAUACAUGUCUUUCAUGAUUGACGGCGACACAGACGUCUCCACCAAAGAGUGUGUGAUCGUCUACAGCCGCAUUUUGCGCAAAGGGAGACCGGUCAACAUUUUAAUUGUUUAAUACUUUAAGCACAAAAAAAAUUAUAUUUUGCUAAAUGGUUUAGUUCGAAUCGAUUUCAGCUCAGUGAAGCACUUUAAACACCUUAUUUUUCUUUUAUUUAUAAUUGUGCUUCAAAUAAAGACACGCAUUUCUCUACACCUUAUUCUUGUUUAAAAAUCGUUCACAUUAUAUGAAAGUUAUGAACAGAGAUAUAAAGGUGACCUCUUGGCGUCUGGAGCCCUGUGAAGUAUUGAUAAAUGUAAUGCAUUCGUUAGCCCACCCACCCAAAAUCACCACCAGCCGUCACUGAAUACAUUUAUGCAUUAUGUUAUUUACUCGUAUUCAUUUUGACAACCUCUUGGUAGCAGGGCUGGACUGGGACCAAAAAAUGGCCCUGUCUUUUUUGGCCAUGGCAGCCCACUAUGAUUAUUUAUACGACAUGCAGAGGCACAAAACAUACCAGAAAAAAAUAAAAACAAACGAACGUACCCGGGCAGUGAUUGUUGACGGGGGGGGGGGGUUGUAUCGUGGACGGUUUCAUUCCGUCUAUACGAGCGGGUGUCCGCCUGCAGCCAGAGGGGGGCCACUAACUAAAACACAGUAAGUCAAAAGAGAGAGAGAGAGAGAGAGAGAGAGAGAGAGAUUCUCUGCGCCUCCUUUACGUUUCUUCUCCAUUUUUCUGUCAGUUAGUGACGUGACUGAUUGACAGCCGAGGCCCAAGGGGCGGGACCUCGGCCCUCUGCUGUGUGUGUGAUAGGGCCAGGGCCAGCCUACAACCAAUCAUAAUGAGUUAUGGCCUGGGCCAAAGUUUUAUUGAACUUUCAGGUUAAGUUGACAGCCCGCACGACCGAGAGGGAAGGAACGGACCUCGGCCCUCGGCUGUGUGACGGGGCUGGGCCGGGCCGGGUCCAUUAAAAAAAAAAAAAAAAAAAAAAGAAAACCUCGUCGGCCCAAAAAGGCCUGCCAGCCCACCGGGCAUUGCCCGGUAUGCUCGAUGGCCAGUCCAGCCCUGCUUGGUAGCCUACCAUAGAAAGCACAUUUAACUGUGACCGAUCCAAAACUAAGGAAAUCCUUUACUAUGUACAGACUCAGUAAGCACAGCCUCGCCAUCGAGAGAGUGAAGGAUAUUGGAUAUAUUCAAUAUAUAUUGAAUAUAUCCAAUAUAUAUUUUGUGUAUAUUGAAUAUAUAUACUUCAAUAUCCAGCCGAUUUAGCCUGCCAGAAUACAACCCCCCCUCCUAUUUCUUGUUUGCAAAGUCGGAGACACUUCAAAUUUAUUGGGGUUACAUCUUCAGGUCAAUGGAUGUGACUCCAGCAAUUUCAGACGUGAAGUCACAACAGGGGACAUUUGGCGGGGGGGGGGGGGGGUUGUAUUCUGGCAGGCAAUUUAGCCUCCCCCCGCCAAAU